GGCAGUUCUCGAGUGACGCACCCCAGAAUCGAGCUCCCCCUCCUCUGGUUUCGAGUGCAUCAACCGAGAACUGCA
rfam:Myotis brandtii contig322680, whole genome shotgun sequence.